rnacentral:rRNA from 1 species
AACGAACGCUGGCGGCAUGCCUAACACAUGCAAGUCGAACGAGACCUUCGGGUCUAGUGGCGCACGGGUGCGUAACGCGUGGGAACCUGCCCUUAGGUUCGGAAUAACUCCCCGAAAGGGGUGCUAAUACCGGAUAAUGUCUUCGGACCAAAGAUUUAUCGCCUUUGGAUGGGCCCGCGUUGGAUUAGCUAGUUGGUAGGGUAAAAGCCUACCAAGGCGACGAUCCAUAGCUGGUCUGAGAGGAUGAUCAGCCACACUGGGACUGAGACACGGCCCAGACUCCUGCGGGAGGCAGCAGUGGGGCAUAUUGGACAAUGGGCGAAAGCCUGAUCCAGCAAUGCCGCGUGAGUGAUGAAGGCCUUAGGGUUGUAAAGCUCUUUUACCCGGGAUGAUAAUGACAGUACCGGGAGAAUAAGCUCCGGCUAACUCCGU